rnacentral:rRNA from 1 species
UAGGAAUCUGCCUUGAAGAGGGGGACAACCCGAGGAAACUCGGGCUAAUACCGCAUAAUCUCGCGAGAGAAAAGCUGGGUAGCAAUACCUGGCGCUUCAAGAGGAGCCUGCGUCCGAUUAGCUAGUUGGUGGGGUAAAGGCCUACCAAGGCGAUGAUCGGUAGCUGGUCUGAGAGGAUGACCAGCCACACGUGGGACUGGACGACCGACCGGCCCAGACCUUACCCCGGGUAAACCGGGGGGACGGACCGAAGACCG